GGCAAGGGCGGCGUGCUACACAUGCAGUCGAACGAUGGAUCCACUUCAGUGGGGAUUAGUGGCGAACGGGUGAGUAACACGUGGGCAAUCUGCCCUGCACUCUGGGACAAGCCCUGGAAACGGGGUCUAAUACCGGAUACUGACCAUCGCAGGCAUCUGUGAUGGUCGAAAGCUCCGGCGGUGCAGGAUGAGCCCGCGGCCUAUCAGCUUGUUGGUGAGGUAGUGGCUCACCAAGGCGACGACGGGUAGCCGGCCUGAGAGGGCGACCGGCCACACUGGGACUGAGACACGGCCCAGACUCCUACGGGAGGCAGCAGUGGGGAAUAUUGCACAAUGGGCGAAAGCCUGAUGCAGCGACGCCGCGUGAGGGAUGACGGCCUUCGGGUUGUAAACCUCUUUCAGCAGGGAAGAAGCGAAAGUGACGGUACCUGCAGAAGAAGCGCCGGCUAACUACGUGCCAGCAGCCGCGGUAAUACCUAAGGCGCGAACGUUGUCCGGAAUUAUUGGGCGUAAAGAGCUCGUAUGCGGCUUGUCACGUCUGUUGUGAAAGCCCGGGCGCUUAGCCCCGGGCUCUGCGUGUCUAUACUUGGCAGUGCUAACACUUUGC
rnacentral:rRNA from 1 species